GUUGUAUGGUUAAGUGACUAAGCGUACACGGUGGAUGCCUGGGCAGUCAGAGGCGAUGAAGGACGUACUAACUUGCGAUAAGCGCAGAUAAGGCAGUAAGAGCCGUUUGAGUCUGCGAUUUCCGAAUGGGGAAACCCAACUGCAUAAGCAGUUACUGUUAACUGAAUACAUAGGUUAACAGAGCAAACCGGGGGAACUGAAACAUCUAAGUACCCCGAGGAGAAGAAAUCAACCGAGAUUCCGGUAGUAGCGGCGAGCGAACCUGGAUUAGCCCUUAAGCACUCGGUGAAGUAGGUGAACAAGCUGGAAAGCUUGGCGAUACAGGGUGAUAGCCCCGUAACCGACGCUUCAUCGAGCGUGAAAUCGAGUAGGGCGGGACACGUGAUAUCCUGUCUGAAUAUGGGGGGACCAUCCUCCAAGGCUAAAUACUCCUGACUGACCGAUAGUGAACCAGUACCGUGAGGGAAAGGCGAAAAGAACCCCUGUGAGGGGAGUGAAAUAGAACCUGAAACCGUGUACGUACAAGCAGUAGGAGCACCUUCGUGGUGUGACUGCGUACCUUUUGUAUAAUGGGUCAGCGACUUAUAUUCAGUGGCAAGGUUAACCGUAUAGGGGAGCCGUAGCGAAAGCGAGUCUUAACUGGGCGCUCAGUCUCUGGAUAUAGACCCGAAACCGGGUGAUCUAGCCAUGGGCAGGUUGAAGGUUGAGUAACAUCAACUGGAGGACCGAACCGACUAAUGUUGAAAAAUUAGCGGAUGACUUGUGGCUAGGGGUGAAAGGCCAAUCAAACUCGGAGAUAGCUGGUUCUCCCCGAAAGCUAUUUAGGUAGCGCCUCGGACGAAUACUACUGGGGGUAGAGCACUGUUAAGGCUAGGGGGUCAUCCCGACUUACCAACCCUUUGCAAACUCCGAAUACCAGUAAGUACUAUCCGGGAGACACACGGCGGGUGCUAACGUCCGUCGUGGAGAGGGAAACAACCCAGACCGCCAGCUAAGGUCCCAAAGUAUUGCUAAGUGGGAAACGAUGUGGGAAGGCUCAGACAGCUAGGAUGUUGGCUUAGAAGCAGCCAUCAUUUAAAGAAAGCGUAAUAGCUCACUAGUCGAGUCGGCCUGCGCGGAAGAUGUAACGGGGCUAAGCAAUACACCGAAGCUGCGGCAAUGUCUUUUAGACAUUGGGUAGGGGAGCGUUCUGUAAGCCGUUGAAGGUGAAUCGUAAGGUUUGCUGGAGGUAUCAGAAGUGCGAAUGCUGACAUGAGUAACGACAAAGGGGGUGAAAAACCUCCUCGCCGGAAGACCAAGGGUUCCUGUCCAACGUUAAUCGGGGCAGGGUGAGUCGACCCCUAAGGUGAGGCCGAAAGGCGUAAUCGAUGGGAAACGGGUUAAUAUUCCCGUACUUCUGACUAUUGCGAUGGGGGGACGGAGAAGGCUAGGUGGGCCAGGCGACGGUUGUCCUGGUUCAAGUGCGUAGGCUUGAGAGUUAGGUAAAUCCGGCUCUCUCUAAGGCUGAGACACGACGUCGAGCUGCUACGGCAGUGAAGUCAUUGAUGCCAUGCUUCCAGGAAAAGCCUCUAAGCUUCAGAUAGUCAGGAAUCGUACCCCAAACCGACACAGGUGGUCGGGUAGAGAAUACCAAGGCGCUUGAGAGAACUCGGGUGAAGGAACUAGGCAAAAUGGUACCGUAACUUCGGGAGAAGGUACGCUCUUGAUGGUGAAGUCCCUCGCGGAUGGAGCUGACGAGAGUCGCAGAUACCAGGUGGCUGCAACUGUUUAUUAAAAACACAGCACUGUGCAAAAUCGCAAGAUGACGUAUACGGUGUGACGCCUGCCCGGUGCCGGAAGGUUAAUUGAUGGGGUUAGCGCAAGCGAAGCUCUUGAUCGAAGCCCCGGUAAACGGCGGCCGUAACUAUAACGGUCCUAAGGUAGCGAAAUUCCUUGUCGGGUAAGUUCCGACCUGCACGAAUGGCGUAAUGAUGGCCACGCUGUCUCCACCCGAGACUCAGUGAAAUUGAAAUCGCUGUGAAGAUGCAGUGUACCCGCGGCUAGACGGAAAGACCCCGUGAACCUUUACUACAGCUUGGCACUGAACAUUGAACCUACAUGUGUAGGAUAGGUGGGAGGCUAUGAAGACGUGACGCCAGUUGCGUUGGAGCCGUCCUUGAAAUACCACCCUUGUAUGUUUGAUGUUCUAACUUAG
rnacentral:rRNA from 1 species